rnacentral:misc_RNA from 1 species
CCAUGCAACUGCUUGAACCUUGUCAGUAUGGUCAUUCAUAGUGAGAUUACAGGCUUCGGUAGUCACAUCCCAAACCUUGACGGUAUGAUCAGCACUAGCACUAGCAAGUAUAUUCCUAUAUUCCUUGUUCCAAGAAAGACCAAGUACUGCAUCCUUGUGGCUAUCCUUUUUGUAUUUGAUAGAUUUCUUUUUUCCCUUUCUCUUUAUAUCAGCGAUGCCACCUAAAAUAACAGAUGGUUGCACCUCAUCUAUUAUGUCAAUGUCCCAAAUUUCAAUUGCUGGUUCCAUUGAGCCCACAGCUAUGAAGUUACCUCUCUCCCCGCCUUUAAUAGGGCAAUCAAGCCAAGCUGUGCAGAGAGGAAAUGCAGGUAAAAUAAGAGCAUGGUGAACAUACAUGUUUGUUUCACCAUCUGAUAGAUCUUCCAAAAUCAUAAUCUCGAGAUGACUGACAUCAUCCUCAUUGCUUGCACAAACUAUAACAGAAUCAUCAGGUCUUAUUACCAUGUCAUCAUCUUCUUCAGAGUCAUUGUCCUUAUCCUUGAGAUAUGGGUCCAUGUCAUUACUUGCGUAGUACAAGUCUUUGAGUCCUGAACCAAAAAGCUCAAUUCCCUCCUCCUCUUCAUCAUAGUUAUCCAUGUCCAGUUCCUUUAAACCAUCUAUUAUGUCAUCAGUUCCUGCAGAAGAAACUUGUGUAGCCUUUCCAAGUGCAUCAGCAGCAGCUAAUGCAAUAGCAACUUCAUCAUCCUCAUUUUUCUUGGAUUCAUCAACAUUCAUAUCUUCUUCAGCUUCCUCAUCAUCACUAUCUUCACCUUUAUCAAGAAGACCACUCUUCAAAAUCUGUUCAAUUUCCUCCUUUGAAGGUGGAUCAGCCUCAGCUGGUACAGACUUUGCAACCCCUUUGGGAACCCAUGAAAUAGCUGCUAUCAUUCUUAAACUGCUUUAUUAACCUUUCCGGCAAUACCAGGUGCUGAACCUCCCUGAUUGCACGGCCUCAGCAAGAGCAAUACCUCCCUCACCAAUACUGCAACUUUGAGUUAAGCCCGAACCACCAGAUAUAUACUCCCUCAGUUGCCGGAGAUUGCAGCUGCCAGACGCGCUCUGCUGCUGCUGCCGGUCUGCUCUGUUGCUGUUGCUCGAGGUGGAGUGACCUGCAGAGCCGGUAGGGGUUGAGAGGAGUGAGAGAGGUCAGGAGAGAAAAAAAAGAAGAAAAA